UCGUGAUCGAAAUGAAAUCAAAGAAAAUUGAUUGAGUUCGGACGAGUUAAUUCAGAUUCAAAAACUUUUACCGUUUCUCCGUUAAAAAAAUUAAAAAAAAAAAACUCUGGAGUGUGGACGACAGCUAAUUUGCACCAGCUGGAUGGCUGGAUCUGUUUAUAAAGUAGAAUUUGGGCAUACAUAUGGAUCAACUAGCCCAUCUAAUAUUAAGAAAUUGUUGGACCCAAAUGCCCAAUAACUAUACCCAGGUCGACAACUAGGGUUUUAUGGCUUUGUACACCUCUAUGUAAGCACCAGACAAGUGUACCAUUCUCUUCUUCAUUUGCGGUCUUCGCAAUGGAAGCGGUGCAUCUUUAACAGACGUCUGUGUUAGGUGUAGUGGAGCCAGGUCCCUGCUUGUCAGGGAGAACCUACUUGUUGGAAGCUACAUUACAUUGACAUUAGCGGAUUUUACUGAGGCAACUUUAAAGUUGAUUGUUUCAUAUAUUUUUGUUUUUUGUCCCAUAUGUAAUUUUAUGUUCUCUGUUUUCUCUAUCGAUUUUAACUAUACCCUUUUAUCCUUUAUAAUGGAGUGACAAACUCAGACAUUGUGUGUUGUCAUCAGCUUCAUCUACCAUACGACCGACGAUAUUGGAGUUAAAUAACAGCACUGCAUUUGGUGCCUUGAGUUUAUUGAAAAUGUUAUUGGUGCAUGUUCUUUAAUGAUCUUUUCUGUCCCUGGAAUUUUUUUCGUUGAAUUGUUGGUUCGUUGAUUGCAGGUUCAUGAAUGACUGGUACCUUAAUCUCAUGGACAUGUACAUAUAUUUGAGAAGUUGGCGCAAUCUAGACAGAAGUUGGUGUUGAGACUAUGUAAAGAAAUGUAUUCCUAUACAGUUCAUAGCAAAACUGACUGUACAUAUACAGGGGCUUCUUGGUGGCUGAUUGGCAAGGCAUUUCUAGUAUACAAAUACCUUUGUUAUUUCAACUAGUACUUUAUAAUAUAUUAAUAAUUAUUUAAAUGGUAA